rnacentral:tRNA from 1 species
UCCCUGGAGGCUCAGUGGUUAAAACUCUGCACUUCCAAUGCAGGGGGCGAGGGUUCGAUCCCCGGUCGGGGAA